UGGCGGACGGGUGAGUAACGCGUGGGUAACCUGCCUCAUACAGGGGGAUAACAGUUAGAAAUGACUGCUAAUACCGCAUAAGACCACAGCACCGCAUGGUGCAGGGGUAAAAACUCCGGUGGUAUGAGAUGGACCCGCGUCUGAUUAGGUAGUUGGUGGGGUAACGGCCUACCAAGCCGACGAUCAGUAGCCGACCGGAGAGGGUGACCGGCCACAUUGGGACUGAGACACGGCCCAA
rnacentral:rRNA from 1 species